rnacentral:misc_RNA from 1 species
CCGAGUUUACAACUCCAAACCCUGUGAACUAUACACUUGUUGCCUCGGCGGAUCAGCCCGCUCCCGGUAAAACGGGACGGCCCGCCAGAGGACCCCUAAACUCUGUUUCUAUAUGUAACUUCUGAGUAAAACCAUAAAUAAAUCA